UGUCUGUUAAAUCAGCCAACAUGUUUCGUGCUGCUCUGUUCCUGUUACUAGCAGCUGCAGAUGUGAAGUGUGAACAGCUGACCCAGCCAGCCUCUUUGACUCUGCAGCCAGGUCAACCUCUGACCAUCAGCUGUCAGGUCUCUUAUGAUGUUACCAGCUACUGGACAGCUUGGAUCAGACAGCCUGCAGGGAAAGGACUGGAGUGGAUUGGAGAUGCAAAAGGAUCUUCAACAGAUUACAAAGAUUCUCUCAGAAACAAGUUCAGCAUUUCCACAGACUCCUCCAGUAAAACAGUGACUCUGAAGGGACAGAAUUUGCAACUGGAAGAUGCUGCUGUGUAUUUCUGUGCUAGACUCCACAGUGAAGCAAAACAUGAACAGACCUGUACAAAAACCCAUUCAGUACCUGAACACUUGAAAUACUGUAAGCCUCCAGAGGAGGCACCAUCAGACCAUAAAUUAUUUGCCAGCAAUUUAUUCCACACUUAA